rnacentral:rRNA from 1 species
GUUGUAUGGUUAAGUGACUAAGCGUACACGGUGGAUGCCUGGGCAGUCAGAGGCGAUGAAGGACGUACUAACUUGCGAUAAGCGCAGAUAAGGCAGUAAGAGCCGUUUGAGUCUGCGAUUUCCGAAUGGGGAAACCCAACUGCAUAAGCAGUUACUGUUAACUGAAUACAUAGGUUAACAGAGCAAACCGGGGGAACUGAAACAUCUAAGUACCCCGAGGAGAAGAAAUCAACCGAGAUUCCGGUAGUAGCGGCGAGCGAACCUGGAUUAGCCCUUAAGCACUCGGUGAAGUAGGUGAACAAGCUGGAAAGCUUGGCGAUACAGGGUGAUAGCCCCGUAACCGACGCUUCAUCGAGCGUGAAAUCGAGUAGGGCGGGACACGUGAUAUCCUGUCUGAAUAUGGGGGGACCAUCCUCCAAGGCUAAAUACUCCUGACUGACCGAUAGUGAACCAGUACCGUGAGGGAAAGGCGAAAAGAACCCCUGUGAGGGGAGUGAAAUAGAACCUGAAACCGUGUACGUACAAGCAGUAGGAGCACCUUCGUGGUGUGACUGCGUACCUUUUGUAUAAUGGGUCAGCGACUUAUAUUCAGUGGCAAGGUUAACCGUAUAGGGGAGCCGUAGCGAAAGCGAGUCUUAACUGGGCGCUCAGUCUCUGGAUAUAGACCCGAAACCGGGUGAUCUAGCCAUGGGCAGGUUGAAGGUUGAGUAACAUCAACUGGAGGACCGAACCGACUAAUGUUGAAAAAUUAGCGGAUGACUUGUGGCUAGGGGUGAAAGGCCAAUCAAACUCGGAGAUAGCUGGUUCUCCCCGAAAGCUAUUUAGGUAGCGCCUCGGACGAAUACUACUGGGGGUAGAGCACUGUUAAGGCUAGGGGGUCAUCCCGACUUACCAACCCUUUGCAAACUCCGAAUACCAGUAAGUACUAUCCGGGAGACACACGGCGGGUGCUAACGUCCGUCGUGGAGAGGGAAACAACCCAGACCGCCAGCUAAGGUCCCAAAGUAUUGCUAAGUGGGAAACGAUGUGGGAAGGCUCAGACAGCUAGGAUGUUGGCUUAGAAGCAGCCAUCAUUUAAAGAAAGCGUAAUAGCUCACUAGUCGAGUCGGCCUGCGCGGAAGAUGUAACGGGGCUAAGCAAUACACCGAAGCUGCGGCAAUAUCUUUUAGAUAUUGGGUAGGGGAGCGUUCUGUAAGCCGUUGAAGGUGAAUCGUAAGGUUUGCUGGAGGUAUCAGAAGUGCGAAUGCUGACAUGAGUAACGACAAAGGGGGUGAAAAACCUCCUCGCCGGAAGACCAAGGGUUCCUGUCCAACGUUAAUCGGGGCAGGGUGAGUCGACCCCUAAGGUGAGGCCGAAAGGCGUAAUCGAUGGGAAACGGGUUAAUAUUCCCGUACUUCUGACUAUUGCGAUGGGGGGACGGAGAAGGCUAGGUGGGCCAGGCGACGGUUGUCCUGGUUCAAGUGCGUAGGCUUGAGAGUUAGGUAAAUCCGGCUCUCUCUAAGGCUGAGACACGACGUCGAGCUGCUACGGCAGUGAAGUCAUUGAUGCCAUGCUUCCAGGAAAAGCCUCUAAGCUUCAGAUAGUUAGGAAUCGUACCCCAAACCGACACAGGUGGUCGGGUAGAGAAUACCAAGGCGCUUGAGAGAACUCGGGUGAAGGAACUAGGCAAAAUGGUACCGUAACUUCGGGAGAAGGUACGCUCUUGAUGGUGAAGUCCCUCGCGGAUGGAGCUGACGAGAGUCGCAGAUACCAGGUGGCUGCAACUGUUUAUUAAAAACACAGCACUGUGCAAAAUCGCAAGAUGACGUAUACGGUGUGACGCCUGCCCGGUGCCGGAAGGUUAAUUGAUGGGGUUAGCGCAAGCGAAGCUCUUGAUCGAAGCCCCGGUAAACGGCGGCCGUAACUAUAACGGUCCUAAGGUAGCGAAAUUCCUUGUCGGGUAAGUUCCGACCUGCACGAAUGGCGUAAUGAUGGCCACGCUGUCUCCACCCGAGACUCAGUGAAAUUGAAAUCGCUGUGAAGAUGCAGUGUACCCGCGGCUAGACGGAAAGACCCCGUGAACCUUUACUACAGCUUGGCACUGAACAUUGAACCUACAUGUGUAGGAUAGGUGGGAGGC